rnacentral:rRNA from 1 species
UGGGGAAUAUUGCACAAUGGGCGCAAGCCUGAUGCAGCCAUGCCGCGUGUGUGAAGAAGGCCUUCGGGUUGUAAAGCACUUUCAGCGAGGAGGAAGGUGGUGGACUUAAUACGUUCAUCAAUUGACGUUACUCGCAGAAGAAGCACCGGCUAACUCCGUGCCAGCAGCCGCGGUAAUACGGAGGGUGCAAGCGUUAAUCGGAAUUACUGGGCGUAAAGCGCACGCAGGCGGUUUGUUAAGUCAGAUGUGAAAUCCCCGGGCUCAACCUGGGAACUGCAUUUGAAACUGGCAAGCUAGAGUCUCGUAGAGGGGGGUAGAAUUCCAGGUGUAGCGGUGAAAUGCGUAGAGAUCUGGAGGAAUACCGGUGGCGAAGGCGGCCCCCCUGGACGAAGACUGACGCUCAGGUGCGAAAGCGUGGGGAGCAAACAGAUUAGAUACCCUGGUAGUCCAGCGCUGUAAACGAUGUCGAUUUGGAGGUUGUGCCCUUGAGGCGUGGCUUCCGGAGCUAACGCGUUAAAUCGACCGCCU